rnacentral:lncRNA from 1 species
ACCAACCAAUUUUCACAAGUUAUAAAGUAUUCAAGAAAGAUGCACAUUGUUAAAAAGGCUAACUUAUAUGCAUACCUUUGAUACCUCGAAUUUGAUAGACUUCGCAUGACUGAAAUUUCCGAGAAGAGAAAAAACCUCUUCAUCUAGCAUAUAACCUUGGCCCUCAUGUAAAAUGAUUUUUGCAGAAGUGUGGCAUGGGGACCGUGUUAAAAUGGUCUGUGGUAUAUCAUAACCACGGUAACUGAAUUCGUUUAGAUGCAAACUGUAAAAGAAAAUGGUAUCCUGGUGUAUUUCAUUGAUAUGAAAGUAGGGAAUAUAUACAAGGUUUCCUCCAUGAUUAUAGGAGAUAAAAAUGAAAACAUAACUACAAGAAAUAAAUGGAAAGAUAUACAAGGAUAUGAGUCAACUAUAAUUUGAAUUCCAAAUUACAGCAAAUCCCUAAAACUAGUCAAUUCAAUUAAUUCCAACAUCCCCUCUCAAGUUGGUGCAUGAAUAUCACACAUACCCAACUUGUCAAGAGAACCAGCAAGAGUCCUGGAGGUUACUGCCUUAGUAAGCAUAUCAGCAAGUUGUUGUUCUGAUUUUACAAACGGAAAUGCAAUAAUACCAGCUUCAAUCUUUUCUUUGAUGAAAUGCCUAUCAAUUUCCACGUGUUUUGUGCGAUCAUGUUGGAGAGGGUUAUGAGCAAUCUCUAUGGCAGAUUUAUUGUCACAGUAAAGCUUCAUUGAAUCCUCUUGUUCACAUCCAAGAUCCAUUAAAAGGUUUUUAAUCCAUAGCAGUUCACAUAUUCCUACUGCCAUCCCCCUGAAUUCUGCUUCGGCACUUGAUCUAGCAACUACUUGUUGUUUUUUACUCCUCCAAGUUACUAAAUUUCCUCCCACAAAAGUGAAGUAGCCUGCAGUAGACUUUCUGUCAUCCGCAGAUCCGGCCCAAUCAGCGUCGGUAUAACCAUCGACUUUGAGGUGACCAUGGUUUGAGAAUAACAAACCUUUUCCUGGAGCAGAUUUUAAGUACCUCAGUAUUCGUUCAACCGCAUCCAUAUGCGGUUUUCUUGGGUCAUGCAUAAAUUGGCUCACAACAUUAACUGCAUACGCUAUGUCUGGCCUAGUAUGAGACAAAUAAAUUAACUUCCCAACUAUUCUUUGAUAUCUUUGACGAUCCAUACUAGGCGCAUCAGCACAACAAAAGUUUUUGUGAUUUUGUUCUAUGGGAGUUUCAAUUGGUUUGCAUCCAAGCAUUCCUGUCUCAGUUAACGAAUCUAACACAUACUUUCUUUGAGAAAGAAAGAUACCAUGCUUGGACCUUGCAACUUCGAUCCCCAAAAAAUACUUUAGAUCUCCAGGUUGUUUCAUGUCAAAAUUAGAAGCUAAAUAUCGCUGCAAGCUCGAAAUUCAUUAGGAUCAUUUCCAGUCACAAUCAUAUCAUCAACAUAUAUUAUCAAUGCGGUGAUCUUACCAUGAUUAUGUUUAAGAAACAAGGUGUGAUCAGAAUUACUUUGCGUGUAACCAAAAAACUUCAUAGACUUAGUAAACCUUCCAAACCAAGCUCUUGGUGACUGUUUUAAUCCAUAUAGGGCCUUUUUAAGCUUGCACACCAUAGAAAUAUUUGAGUACCUUGGUAUGCCAGGGGGAGGAUCCAUAUACACUUCUUCUAUUAAAUCUCCAUGUAAAAAGGCAUUUUUUACAUCAAAUUGAAUAAGCGGCCAAUCUUGAUUUGCUGCUAAUGAUAGUAAUACCCUCACUGUGUUGAGUUUUGCAACUGGUGCAAAAGUUUCUUCAUAAUCAACUCCAUAGGAUUGAGUGUAACCUUUUGCAACUAACCUCGCUUUAAACCUCUCAACACUUCCAUCGGCCUUAUGUUUGAUAGUAAACACCCAUCUACAACCUACAGUGCUCUUUCCGACCGGUAAGGAGACAAGUUCCCAAGUAGCAUUUUUGUCCAAUGCUUCCAUUUCUGCUGUCAUUGCCUGUGUCCAUCUCGAAUCUGCUAGAGCUUCCUGCAUGUUACUAGGUGUAGAUGCAAUGGAUAAUUGAGAUGCAUAAUUAGCAUAUGACUUGGACAACUUUUGGAAUGACACAUAGUUAUUUAUAGGGUACUUUACCUUACAAUUAGGGUCAGGUUCAUACCUUAUUGGAGGUUGUCCUCUGUUAGUACGAGGCGGAAGAGUGUAAGUGCUAACAACAUGGUCAAAAUUUAAUGGACUAGAAGAAGAGUCAUUAUUUUCUAUAUUAGCGGAAACAUAAUUUUCUGUAUCAGCAAUAUAAUGAAUAGAAGCAAUAGUUUCAGAUGGUACCUCUGCAAAAUUUUCUGAGGAUUGGAUCAGCAGUAGGCUUGACGUUGAAGAGGAAAUUAUACUAUCAUCUUCGGUCAUAUUCUCAUUUCCAAUAUCUUGAUUCUCAUCUUCAAUAUCUUGAAUUUCAUUUUGAUUUUCUAUUGGCAUAGUAUCAAAUAACAUGAUUUCAUGGAUGUGUAUUUCAUGAUUCUACACCUCUACAUCACUUCCCCUCUGAGGUGAAGAAUGGAGUGUUUUAGAAAGAAAAAACAAUUCAUGUUCAUGAAAGGUAACAUCCAUUGAAACAAAAUAUUUUUUUGAAGAUGGAUGAUAAACUUUAUAUCCCUUUUGAGUGGUGCUGUAUCCCACAAAAACACAUUUCAUUGCUCUAGAUUCUAAUUUUGUUCUUUGGUGAGGAUGUAAACGUAAAUAUACGACACAGCCAAAAAUAUGGGGUGGUAAAUUAUUGAUAGAGUUAAGUGUGCAAUGAUUAGAAAGAACAUCAAUAGGUCUUCUAAAAUUUAGCACACUUGAGGGGACUUUAUUAAUAAGAUAAACUGCAGAGCUUAAAGCUUCACCCCAUAGAUAAGAAGGAACAUUACUCCCAAUCAAGAGUGACCUAGUAAUCUCCAAAAGGUGUCUAUUUUUUCUUUCAGCUACUCCAUUCUGCUGAGUAAGUAACAACGGAUCCACCAUCUUGUUUAAUAGAUAUUACCUCACAAUAAAGCUGAUAUGCCUUUGAUGCAUCUUGACUGACAGAGUAAGUCUCCUUGACCGAUUCCCAGAUCUUCUUGGCUGUAGGUAACCGGAUGAAAAGCGACCUAACAUCUUUUUUCAUUGCAUCCAGAAGCCAAGACUUGACCAAACAAUUCUCAUCUUCCCAAGUUUCAUAUUCAUCAGAGGUUUUUGUUGCAGGUGCGACCUUCUUUCCAGAGAUGUAACCCCAAUGUUUACGACCUCUGAUCUUGUUUUCUGCAUUAAGGGCCCAUUCGGUAUAGUUUGUGCCAUCAAGACGUUCAGGUGUGAGGGAUGAAUACAGAUCAUGUGUAUGUGGAGCAGAAUUUGAUUUUUGAGCAGAAUCUGAUUUAUCUGAGCCAUUCGCCAUUUUCUUACUCAGAAGCUAAUCUCCAAUUCCUAGAAAUGAGAGGUAAUUGGAGUCGGCUCUGAUACCAUGUAAAAGAAAAUGGUAUACUGGUGUAUUUCAUUGAUAUGAAAGUAGGGAAUAUAUAUACAAGGUUUCCUCCAUGAUUAUAGGAGAUAAAAAAUGAAAACAUAACUGCAAGAAAUAAAUGGAAAGAUAUACAAGUAUAUGAGUCAACUAUAAUUUGAAUUCCAAAUUACAGCAAAUCCCUAAAACUAGUCAAUUCAAUUAAUUCCAACACAACUAGAGAAAAAGAUAGAAGAAUUGAUAAUGUUAUAGGGCACAUCAACGUCAUGUUCAAUGGAAAUACUUUCAAGUAGAGGAGCAUCUAUAGAGACCCAAGUUGCAUCAACAAACCAAGCGCAGUUUUUGGUCUCAAAUUUUGUUAGAAGUGGGAACUAAGCUUAAGUUUAAUAUAGUUAGGGGAUUUGGGCGAGUGAGUGUUAAAGAAGAUUCCACACAACUUGAGAAGUUUUAGGUUUUGAAAACGAAUAGAUUUGGUGGGACUUGGUGCAUUAGCAAGGUAAACUGAAUUAGUGAGCAAUUCCAAUUCUUCAAUUGAUAUGGGAACUUUAAUAUGGGAAAUAGAAUUAACGAGCAAUUCCAAUUCUUCUAAUAAUAUGAAAUUUUUAAAUAGAGAAUCAGAAGCAAGAACGGAGAAUGAGAGUUGAAACUGCGAAUGGAUUCGAAGAUUUUUAACUCUGCGGUUGAAGAUGUUAGAGAACCAUAUAUCUAGAAGGAAUGGAUCAUACACACUGGAGAGGAAAAGAGAAAAGCUAUCCAUGGUUAAAGAGUAAGACUGAGUGCUCUAUUAACAAACCCAAUAAAGUUAUGUUUUCUUGAAUUUGAACCAUCGUGAUGCUCGUGUAUGGAGAGUUUAGUGAGGGAAGACCAACGGGUUUUCCAUUUUUUGGAUAAAAGAAAAGCACGAACAGCAUCUUCCGUCGGAAGAAAAGAGAGAAUGUGAGUUAUUAGUUGUUCAGGGAGCUUGUUGUAGAAUAUGUCAUCUUCAUCUGCAGUUGCAUGUGGAAGAGAGCUUGUGACGCUUUCCGUUUCGUGCGGUUGAAUCGGACGCCAUGUUUGAUUGCUUGCUUACUUCGUCUUCUGAUGAAGAGAGUUGGGGAGAUGAGUAGGAGAAAUAGGGUUGAGUGAUUGAGAGUUCAGCGAAAGAAAUAGGGUUUGGUGAAUCAAGUAUAUGUUUAUCUUUUGUUAUUUAGGUGU